rnacentral:rRNA from 1 species
CACAUGCAAGUCGAACGGGUAACAGGAAGAAGCUUGCUUCUUUGCUGACGAGUGGCGGACGGGUGAGUAAUGUCUGGGAAACUGCCUGAUGGAGGGGGAUAACUACUGGAAACGGUAGCUAAUACCGCAUAACGUCGCAAGACCAAAGAGGGGGACCUUCGGGCCUCUUGCCAUCGGAUGUGCCCAGAUGGGAUUAGCUAGUAGGUGGGGUAACGGCUCACCUAGGCGACGAUCCCUAGCUGGUCUGAGAGGAUGACCAGCCACACUGGAACUGAGACACGGUCCAGACUCCUACGGGAGGCAGCAGUGGGGAAUAUUGCACAAUGGGCGCAAGCCUGAUGCAGCCAUGCCGCGUGUAUGAAGAAGGCCUUCGGGUUGUAAAGUACUUUCAGCGGGGAGGAAGGGAGUAAAGUUAAUACCUUUGCUCAUUGACGUUACCCGCAGAAGAAGCACCGGCUAACUCCGUGCCAGCAGCCGCGGUAAUACGGAGGGUGCAAGCGUUAAUCGGAAUUACUGGGCGUAAAGCGCACGCAGGCGGUUAGUUAAGUCAGAUGUGAAAUCCCCGGGCUCAACCUGGGAACUGCAUCUGAUACUGGCAAG